GAACGCACCUUGCGCUCCUUGGUUAUUCCUUGGAGCAUGCCUGUUUGAGUAUCAUGAGCAAAUCUCAAAGUCGAUUCCUUUUGUUAAUUCAAUUGGUUUUUUGCUUUGGACUUGGAGGCCUUGCAGAUUUCACGUCUGCUCCUCUUAAAUGCAUUAGCUGGAUCUCAGUAUUAUGCUUUGGUUCCACUCGGCGUGAUAAUUAUCACUCGCUGAGGACACUGUUAAAAAGGUGGCCAGGAAAAUACUGAUUGAACCGCUUCUAAUGGUCUAUUAAGUUAGACAAUUACCCUUAAGUUUGAUCUCAAAUCAGGUAGGACUACCCGCUGAACUUA
rnacentral:misc_RNA from 1 species